rnacentral:lncRNA from 1 species
GAUAUUAGCAACACCAAUCAAACAUAUCUUCCCCAUUUCUUCUAAGAUUGCAUCAAUUUUUGAAAACAUGGAAAACGAACCUUACGAUUCGAAGGAAUCCAGCGACCAAUACUACAACCUUCUUAUCUACCAACACCCCAAUUGACUAGCCGCCAUGGAUAGCUUCUUCUCGAUCUGCGAUUAGUACCAUCCAAUCCCCAUUUGAUUACGAUAGCAACGGGGUUAAGGGAUUUGGUCGAUUGAAAAUUGUUUUGUUGUUGGUGUUGAGGGGUUUGAUCAAAUGAAAAAUGGUUUGGAUUUGGGUUUGGGUUGAGGGAUUUGUUUGAUUACGCAAACUAGGGAUGGCAGUUUUUGGAGAGGUGGCAGUGAUUGCAAUGGUGG